rnacentral:rRNA from 1 species
GACGAACGCUGGCGGCGUGCUUAACACAUGCAAGUCGAACGGAAAGGCCCUGCUUGCAGGGUGCUCGAGUGGCGAACGGGUGAGUAACACGUGGGUGAUCUGCCCCUUACUUUGGGAUAAGCCUGGGAAACUGGGUCUAAUACUGGAUAGGACCAUGCUGUAGGUGGUGUGGUGGAAAGAUUAGUUUCGGUAAGGGAUGAGCUCGCGGCCUAUCAGCUUGUUGGUGGGGUAAUAGCCUACCAAGGCGUCGACGGGUAGCCGGCCUGAGAGGGUGGACGGCCACAUUGGGACUGAGAUACGGCCCAGACUCCUACGGGAGGCAGCAGUGGGGAAUAUUGCACAAUGGGCGCAAGCCUGAUGCAGCGACGCCGCGUGGGGGAUGACGGCCUUCGGGUUGUAAACUCCUUUCAGCCAUGACGAAGCCCUUGUGGUGACGGUAGUGGUAGAAGAAGCACCGGCUAACUACGUG